AUUGAUCCCAACAUGCUAACUGAAUUUGCUCAGUUAAAGUAUAAUGCAAUGAAGUAUAAUUUCAUGACUGGGCCUACUAUUAUUUUUCAUUCUCAUCCUGAUUUGCUUGUCAAUUUGAAGAAAAUUGGUUGUGUUUGUCUAAUUUCUUUUUCAAGUAGGUGUGUUUAUCUGGAUUUAGUUAGUGAGUUUUAUGAUCAUAUGAAAUUUAUAAAAGAUGUUGG
rnacentral:lncRNA from 1 species